UACGUAGGGACCAAGCGUUGUCCGGAAUCAUUGGGCGUAAAGAGCGUGUAGGCGGCUUGUUAAGUCUUGCGUGAAAUCUCGGGGCUCAACCCCGAGCGGUCGUGAGAAACUGGCGGGCUAGAGUGCGGGAGAGGAGAGUGGAAUUCCUGGUGUAGCGGUGAAAUGCGCAGAUAUCAGGAAGAACACCCGUGGCGAAGGCGGCUCUCUGGAACGCAACUGACGCUGAGACGCGAAAGCGUGGGGAGCAAACAGG
rnacentral:rRNA from 1 species